CACAAGCGGUGGAUCAUGUUGUUUAAUUCGAUGAUACGCGAAGAACCUUACCAGGUCUUGACAUCCCCCGCGAUGCUUUAGAGAUAAAGCGGAGGUAUUCGGGGAGACAGGUGGUGCAUGGUUGUCGUCAGCUCGUGUCGUGAGAUGUUGGGUUAAGUCCCGCAACGAGCGCAACCCCUAUUGCUAGUUACCAUCAUUAAGUUGGGGACUCUAGCGAGACUGCCAGUGAUAAACUGGAGGAAGGUGGGGAUGACGUCAAAUCAUCAUGCCCCUUAUGACCUGGGCUACACACGUGCUACAAUGGUCGGUACAAAGGGUUGCCAAGCCGCGAGGUGGAGCUAAUCCCAUAAAACCGAUCGUAGUCCGGAUCGCAGUCUGCAACUCGACUGCGUGAAGUCGGAAUCGCUAGUAAUCGUGAAUCAGAAUGUCACGGUGAAUACGUUCCCGGGCCUU
rnacentral:rRNA from 1 species